rnacentral:rRNA from 1 species
GAUGAACGCUGGCGGCGUGCCUAACACAUGCAAGUCGAACGGAAAGACCCUGCUUUUGCGGGGCUCUCGUUUGGCGCGGGGGGGUGUAACACGCGUGUAUCAUCCCCCUGUCUUUCGGGUAUAACUAGGAAACUCGGGAUCUUAUCGGAUAGGAGCUAUUGCAGCGCGUUGUGGGAUGGUGAGAUUCGGCGGUUGGGGCUGGACUCGAGGGUUAUCCGCUUGUUGGGGGGGUUGGGGCGUACAAAGUCUUUGACGGGUAGCCGGCCUGGGAGGGUGACCGGCCACAUUGGGACUGAGAUACGGCCCAGACGCCUACGGGAGGCAGCAGUGGGGAAUAUUGCACAAUGAGCGGAAGCCUGAUGCAGCAGCGCCGCGAGCGGAAUGACGGCCUUCGGGUUGUAAACCGCUGUCGCCUGUGACGAAGCGGGAGUGACGGUAAUGGGUAAAGAAGCACCGGCUAACUACGUG